UGGCUCUGUUGUGGAGAGAGACUCCCGCU
rnacentral:piRNA from 1 species